rnacentral:rRNA from 1 species
UAAGCGGAGGAAAAGAAACUAACAAGGAUUCCCCUAGUAGCGGCGAGCGAAGCGGGAAGAGCUCAAAUUUAUAAUCUGGCACCUUCGGUGUCCGAGUUGUAAUCUCUAGAAGUGUUUUCCGCGUUGGACCGCGCAUAAGUCUGUUGGAAUACAGCGGCACAGUGGUGAGACCCCCGUAUGUGGUGCGGACGCCCAGCGCUUUGUGAUACACUUUCGAAGAGUCGAGUUGUUUGGGAAUGCAGCUCAAAUUGGGUGGUAAAUUCCAUCUAAAGCUAAAUAUUGGCGAGAGACCGAUAGCGAACAAGUACCGUGAGGGAAAGAUGAAAAGCACUUUGGAAAGAGAGUUAACAGUACGUGAAAUUGUUGGAAGGGAAACGCUUGAAGUCAGACUUGCUUGCCGGGCAACCGGUUUGCAGGCCAGCAUCAGUUUUCCGGGGUGGAUAAUGGUAGAGAGAAGGUAGCAGUUUCGGCUGUGUUAUAGCUCUCUACUGGAUACACCUUGGGGGACUGAGGAACGCAGUGNGCCUUACGGCGGAGGUUUCGACCUCUUCACACUUAGGAUGCUGGUGGAAUGGCUUUAAACGACCCGUCUUGAAACACG